UACGGGGGGGGCAAGCGUUGUUCGGAAUUACUGGGCGUAAAGGGCUCGUAGGCGGCCAACUAAGUCAGACGUGAAAUCCCUCGGCUUAACCGGGGAACUGCAUCUGAUACUGGAUGGCUUGAGUUCGGGAGAGGGAUGUGGAAUUCCAGGUGUAGCGGUGAAAUGCGUAGAUAUCUGGAGGAACAUCUGUGGCGAAGGCGGCCACCUGGACCAACACUGACACUGAGGCACGAAAGCGUGGGGAGCAAACAGG
rnacentral:rRNA from 1 species